AGUGAACGCUGGCGGCAGGCCUAACACAUGCAAGUCGAACGGCAGCACAAGAGAGCUUGCUCUCUGGGUGGCGAGUGGCGGACGGGUGAGGAAUGCAUCGGAAUCUGCCCAUUUGUGGGGAUAACCUCGGGAAACCGGGAGUAAUACCGCAUACGACCUACGGGGGAAAGCAGGGGAUCUUCGGACCUUGCGCAGAUGGAUGAGCCGAUGCCGGAUUAGCUAGUUGGAGGGGUAAAGGCCCACCAAGGCGACGAUCCGUAGCUGGUCUGAGAGGAUGAUCAGCCACACUGGGACUGAGACACGGCCCAGACUCCUACGGGAGGCAGCAGUGGGGAAUAUUGGACAAUGGGCGCAAGCCUGAUCCAGCCAUGCCGCGUGUGUGAAGAAGGCCUUCGGGUUGUAAAGCACUUUUGUUGGGAAAGAAAAGCAGCCGGUUAAUACCCGGUUGUCAUGACGGUACCCAAAGAAUAAGCACCGGCUAACUUCGUG
rnacentral:rRNA from 1 species